rnacentral:rRNA from 1 species
GACGAACGCUGGCGGCGUGCUUAACACAUGCAAGUCGAACGGAAAGGCCCCUUUGGGGGUACUCGAGUGGCGAACGGGUGAGUAACACGUGAGUAACCUGCCCUUGACUUCGGGAUAACUUCAGGAAACUGGGGCUAAUACCGGAUAGGAAUCCUUGCUGCAUGGUGGGGGUUGGAAAGCUUCGGCGGUUUUGGAUGGACUCGCGGCUUAUCAGCUUGUUGGUGGGGUAGUGGCUUACCAAGGCUUUGACGGGUAGCCGGCCUGAGAGGGCGACCGGCCACAUUGGGACUGAGAUACGGCCCAGACUCCUACGGGAGGCAGCAGUGGGGAAUAUUGCACAAUGGGCGGAAGCCUGAUGCAGCAACGCCGCGUGCGGGAUGACGGCCUUCGGGUUGUAAACCGCUUUCAGCAGGGGCGAAGCUUGUGGUGACGGUACUUGCAGAAGAAGCACCGGCUAACUACGUG